UCAAUAAAAAGUGAGCAGCGCCUGCAGG
rnacentral:piRNA from 1 species